GAUGAACGCUGGCGGCGUGCCUAAUACAUGCAAGUCGAGCGAACAGACGAGGAGCUUGCUCCUCUGACGUUAGCGGCGGACGGGUGAGUAACACGUGGAUAACCUACCUAUAAGACUGGGAUAACUUCGGGAAACCGGAGCUAAUACCGGAUAAUAUAUUGAACCGCAUGGUUCAAUAGUGAAAGACGGUUUUGCUGUCACUUAUAGAUGGAUUCGCGCCGCAUUAGCUAGUUGGUAAGGUAACGGCUUACCAAGGCAACGAUGCGUAGCCGACCUGAGAGGGUGAUCGGCCACACUGGAACUGAGACACGGUCCAGACUCCUACGGGAGGAAGCAGUAGGGAAUCUUCCGCAAUGGGCGAAAGCCUGACGGAGCAACGCCGCGUGAGUGAUGAAGGUCUUCGGAUCGUAAAACUCUGUUAUUAGGGAAGAACAAAUGUGUAAGUAACUAUGCACGUCUUGACGGUACCUAAUCAGAAAGCCACGGCUAACUACGUG
rnacentral:rRNA from 1 species